AGUUAAACACAAAAUGAAAAGAAAUCUGUUGAGCUUAGUGUUCUUUUGCCUCGCUGUUUUGAUCGGUGUGGUGGCAGGUUAUUUUAAUUUUGAUGUACGAAAUCUGGAAGUGAUUAAUAUUCCAGGAAGCUUAAUAGUCCCCUCCCUGGAAUUUAAAUCUGGCAGAUAUCCCUACAUUUUUGGCUCGGUAAAAUUCUAAAAGGAUAUCACUAAUGAGGAUGAGGUUACCGUGAGAAUCUAUUAUGAUACAUCCGGAGAAUAUAAGGAGGAACCUUUCGCGAACCUGUGGAAUCGACACGUCUGCGAGGCUCUCAAAGAAUUUUACCCUCCCUACCUAAAACAGAUUUUAGUGACGGGCGAAAACACAAACUUUGAUCUUAAGAAUGGAACGGUGUGCCCCUUGCCAAAAGGUGAUUACUGGAUUGACUUCCUUAGGUUCAACGUUUCGGCUUGGAAUAUUGAUUUGAAUAUUAGAACUGCUCAGUACUGGGGUAAUCUUACUCUUGUGGACAAAAACGGAGAAUUUGGAGGCGGUGUUAGUUUCCUUGUGGCUGUUAAAAAGAACGAAAUAAUUUGAUUGCUUUUCGUUUGCGGGCUUUUAAUGAGCUUCUCAUCGUAAUAAAUGUAAUAUCAGCAA